rnacentral:rRNA from 1 species
AACGUAGGUUCCGAGCGUUAUCCGGAUUUACUGGGCGUAAAGCGCGUUCAGGCGGUUUGGCAAGUCGGGCAUGAAAUCUCUCGGCUCAACCGGGAGAGGUUGUCCGAUACUUCCAGACUUGAGGGCAGUAGAGGGUGGUGGAAUUCCGGGUGUAGUGGUGAAAUGCGUAGAUAUCAGGAGGAACACCGGUGGCGAAGGCGGCUACCUGGACAGAGUCUGACGCUGAGGCACGAAAGCUAGGGGAGCAAACAGG